rnacentral:rRNA from 1 species
AAAUUUGAGAGUUUGAUCCUGGCUCAGGAUGAACGCUGGCGGCGUGCCUAACACAUGCAAGUCGAGCGGGAUUCGGGAAACCGAGUUCAGCGGCGGACGG